rfam:Sphingobium baderi LL03 contig079, whole genome shotgun sequence.
UGUGCGGGCCGGGCCCCUCUGGCGGUUGGACAUGUCCAGCCGUGAUGUCGGACCGCAUCG